UGCGGAGUAGGGGAGCUCGGUCGUCCCCGCGGGACCCAUAACCCCGAGACCGGCGGUUCAAAUCCGCCCUCCGCCA
rnacentral:tRNA from 2 species